GACGAACGCUGGCGGCGUGCUUAACACAUGCAAGUCGAACGGAAAGGCCCCUUUGGGGGUACUCGAGUGGCGAACGGGUGAGUAACACGUGAGUAACCUGCCCUUGACUUCGGGAUAACUUCAGGAAACUGGGGCUAAUACCGGAUAGGAAUCCUUGCUGCAUGGUGGGGGUUGGAAAGCUUCGGCGGUUUUGGAUGGACUCGCGGCUUAUCAGCUUGUUGGUGGGGUAGUGGCUUACCAAGGCUUUGACGGGUAGCCGGCCUGAGAGGGCGACCGGCCACAUUGGGACUGAGAUACGGCCCAGACUCCCACGGGAGGCAGCAGUGGGGAAUAUUGCACAAUGGGCGGAAGCCUGAUGCAGCAACGCCGCGUGCGGGAUGACGGCCUUCGGUUUGUAAACCGCUUUCAGCAGGGGCGAAGCUUGUGGUGACGGUACCUGCAGAAGAAGCACCGGCUAACUACGUG
rnacentral:rRNA from 1 species